UUUCUCUGCAGCACACAAUGCGACUGUUCCACAACAUCUUCAGUGUGUCGACAUGAAAGUUACUGGUUUUUUCUUUUCGCUGACACGUGGACAUCUAUUCAUUGCUGAAGCACCAAACAAGCAGGUGUACUAUGGUGACUCUGGUGGAGGAGUGGUGUUGAACAAGAAGAUUUAUGGUGUGAUUGCUGGCCGUGGAUUAAGCCAUGCAUUUCGGAAUUCAGUUUUUAGCAUGGUUGUGUGUGAUUACAUAGACUGGAUACGCAAUACAACUGGGCUUAACAAACCUAAACUAUCAUGAAAUAAAAAUUUCAUCAAAUUUCUUCUCAUAUGUAAUUUCAUAGUUAUAUCUUCAUUAGUUUGGUCUAGAUGUUUGUAGAAUUAGGACAGAUUAAUAAUUUAGUUUUUUCUCACCUGUCCUUGAACUCCCUAGUGGAACUUUCUCUGCCUCUGAAAUGAAUAAAUAAAUCAAUAAAUUAAUGAAAAAAAUAA